ACAUAUUACCGAAGCUGUGGAUUGUCCUUUGGACAAUGGUAGGAGAGCGUUCUAAGGGCGUUGAAGCAUGAUCGUAAGGACAUGUGGAGCGCUUAGAAGUGAGAAUGCCGGUGUGAGUAGCGAAAGACGGGUGAGAAUCCCGUCCACCGAUUGACUAAGGUUUCCAGAGGAAGGCUCGUCCGCUCUGGGUUAGUCGGGUCCUAAGCUGAGGCCGACAGGCGUAGGCGAUGGAUAACAGGUUGAUAUUCCUGUACCACCUAUAAUCGUUUUAAUCGAUGGGGGGACGCAGUAGGAUAGGCGAAGCGUGCGAUUGGAUUGCACGUCUAAGCAGUAAGGCUGAGUAUUAGGCAAAUCCGGUACUCGUUAAGGCUGAGCUGUGAUGGGGAGAAGACAUUGUGUCUUCGAGUCGUUGAUUUCACACUGCCGAGAAAAGCCUCUAGAUAGAAAAUAGGUGCCCGUACCGCAAACCGACACAGGUAGUCAAGAUGAGAAUUCUAAGGUGAGCGAGCGAACUCUCGUUAAGGAACUCGGCAAAAUGACCCCGUAACUUCGGGAGAAGGGGUGCUCUUUAGGGUUAACGCCCAGAAGAGCCGCAGUGAAUAGGCCCAAGCGACUGUUUAU
rnacentral:rRNA from 1 species